GAUGAACGCUGGCGGCGUGCCUAAUACAUGCAAGUCGAGCGAACAGACGAGGAGCUUGCUCCUCUGACGUUAGCGGCGGACGGGGGAGUAAAACGUGGAUAACCCACCUAUAAGACUGGGAUAACUUCGGGAAACCGGAGCUAAUACCGGAUAACAUGCUGAACCGCAUGGUUUAACAGUGAAAGACGGUCUUGCUGUCACUUAUAGAUGGAUCCGCGCCGCAUUAGCUAGUUGGUAAGGUAACGGCUUACCAAGGCAACGAUGCGUAGCCGACCUGAGAGGGUGAUCGGCCACACUGGAACUGAGACACGGUCCAGACUCCUACGGGAGGCAGCAGUAGGGAAUCUUCCGCAAUGGGCGAAAGCCUGACGGAGCAACGCCGCGUGAGUGAAGAAGGUCUUCGGAUCGUAAAGCUCUGUUAUUAGGGAAGAACAAAUGUGUAAGUAACUAUGCACGUCUUGACGGUACCUAAUCAGAAAGCCACGGCUAACUACGUG
rnacentral:rRNA from 1 species